AGUGAACGCUGGCGGUAGGCCUAACACAUGCAAGUCGAACGGCAGCACAGUAAGAGCUUGCUCUUACGGGUGGCGAGUGGCGGACGGGUGAGGAAUACAUCGGAAUCUACUUUUUCGUGGGGGAUAACGUAGGGAAACUUACGCUAAUACCGCAUACGACCUACGGGUGAAAGCAGGGGAUCUUCGGACCUUGCGCGAUUGAAUGAGCCGAUGUCGGAUUAGCUAGUUGGCGGGGUAAAGGCCCACCAAGGCGACGAUCCGUAGCUGGUCUGAGAGGAUGAUCAGCCACACUGGAACUGAGACACGGUCCAGACUCCUACGGGAGGCAGCAGUGGGGAAUAUUGGACAAAGGGCGCAAGCCUGAUCCAGCCAUACCGCGUGGGUGAAGAAGGCCUUCGGGUUGUAAAGCCCUUUUGUUGGGAAAGAAAAGCAGCAGGUUAAUACCCCGCUGUUCUGACGGUACCCAAAGAAUAAACACCGGCUAACUUCGUG
rnacentral:rRNA from 1 species